CACGUAGGGCGCGAGCGUUGUCCGGAAUUAUUGGGCGUAAAGAGCUCGUAGGCGGCCUGUUGCGUCCGCUGUGAAAGCCCGGGGCUUAACCCCGGGUCGGCAGUGGAUACGGGCAGGCUAGAGGUAGGUAGGGGAGAAUGGAAUUCCCGGUGUAGCGGUGAAAUGCGCAGAUAUCGGGAGGAACACCGGUGGCGAAGGCGGUUCUCUGGGCCUUACCUGACGCUGAGGAGCGAAAGCGUGGGGAGCAAACAGG
rnacentral:rRNA from 1 species